rnacentral:rRNA from 1 species
AGCAGCCGCGGUAAUUCCAGCUCCAAUAGCGUAUAUUAAAGUUGUUGCAGUUAAAAAGCUCGUAGUUGAAUUUCGGGGUUAGUAGGUUGGUCAUGCCUCUGGUAUGUACUAAUCUCACUGAUUCCUCCCUCUUGACGAACUGUAAUGUCAUUAAUUUGGUGUUGCAGGAAAUCAGGACUGUUACUUUGAAAAAUUAGAGUGUUUAAAGCAGGCUUAGGCUUGAAUACAUUAGCAUGGAAUAAUGAAAUAGGACGUUUGAACCUAUUUUGUUGGUUUCUAGGAUCGACGUAAUGAUUAAUAGGGAUAGUUGGGGGCAUUAGUAUUCAAUUGUCAGAGGUGAAAUUCUUGGAUUUAUUGAAGACUAACUACUGCGAAAGCAUUUGCCAAGGAUGUUUUCAUUAAUCAAGAACGAAAGUUAGGGGAUCGAAGACGAUCAGAUACCGUCGUAGUCUUAACCAUAAACUAUGCCGACUAGGGAUCGGAUGAUGUUAAUUUUUAAUGACUCAUUCGGCGCCUUAAC